AGAAGCCCUAACCCUAGAAUUCUCAAGAAAAGAGGAACUUGGAGCCUUUAAAACCCCGAGCUAUUGACUUGGUGCAGCCGCGUUCUUAAUUCUGAGCUUCUGAUUGAAAUGUUAAUGCUUCAAAAUAAUAUUCCAAAAUGCAGCAACCAUGUGGGAAGCGAUAUGGUUAAUAAAUUUAUUUCGACGCCAUUGUCUAUCAGAAUGGGUGGAAUUGGAAAGAACACACUGGUCCGUUGUUUUUUCGCCCUUUUUUAUCACUAAAUGGCUUUCACAUACACAUCGGGCGAUAGGCGCAAGUUUUAUGCAACUUAAUUUUCAGUAUUACGCUUUUAUAUUUUCAAUUUAUUGAAUGCUCUAGUUAAAUAAUUAAUACUCGUGGUGUGAUUAGUCUUGCGUUUUUUUAGUGCUUCACUCUUAUGUCUUACAUUUAUUGAAUGCUAUAGUUAUUGUGUAGGGGAAAAAGCGAGACUAGGUUAACAUGCCCUAAUCCUACCUUUUGACACACAUUACGAAA